AUUGAACGCUGGCGGCAGGCCUAACACAUGCAAGUCGAGCGAGCGGCGGACGGGUGAGUAAUGUAUGGGGACUGCCCGAUAGAGGGGGAUAACUACUGGAAACGGUGGCUAAUACCGCAUACUAUCGGAUACCCCAUAUGGGAUUAGCUUGUAGGUGGGGUAACGGCUCACCUAGGCGACGAUCCCUAGCUGGUCUGAGAGGAUGGUCAGCAAAACUGGGACUGAGAAACGGCCAAGACUCCUACGGGGGCAGAAGGGGGGAAAAUUGGACAAGGGGGGCAAGCCUGGUGCAGACAUGCCGGGGGUAUGAAGAAGGCCUUAGGGUUGUAAAGUACUUUUAGCGGGGAGGCGUUACCCGAAGAAGAAGCACCGGCUAACUCCGUGCCAGCAGCCGCGGUAAUUC
rnacentral:rRNA from 1 species